rnacentral:rRNA from 1 species
UGGGGAAUAUUGCACAAUGGGGGAAACCCUGAUGCAGCGACGCCGCGUGGAGGAAGAAGGUCUUCGGAUUGUAAACUCCUGUUGUUGGGGAAGAUAAUGACGGUACCCAACAAGGAAGUGACGGCUAACUACGUGCCAGCAGCCGCGGUAAAACGUAGGUCACAAGCGUUGUCCGGAAUUACUGGGUGUAAAGGGAGCGCAGGCGGGAAGACAAGUUGGAAGUGAAAUCUAUGGGCUCAACCCAUAAACUGCUUUCAAAACUGUUUUUCUUGAGUAGUGCAGAGGUAGGCGGAAUUCCCGGUGUAGCGGUGGAAUGCGUAGAUAUCGGGAGGAACACCAGUGGCGAAGGCGGCCUACUGGGCACCAACUGACGCUGAGGCUCGAAAGUGUGGGUAGCAAACAGGAUUAGAUACCCUGGUAGUCCACACCGUAAACGAUGAUUACUAGGUGUUGGAGGAUUGACCCCUUCAGUGCCGCAGUUAACACAAUAAGUAAUCCACCUGGGGAGUACGACCGCAAGGUUGAAACUCAAAGGAAUUGACGGGGGCCCGCACAAGCAGUGGAGUAUGUGGUUUAAUUCGACGCAACGCGAAGAACCUUACCAAGUCUUGACAUCCCUUGACAGACAUAGAAAUAUGUAAUCUCUUCGGAGCAAGGAGACAGGUGGUGCAUGGUUGUCGUCAGCUCGUGUCGUGAGAUGUUGGGUUAAAUCCCGCAACGAGCGCAACCCUUAUGGUCAGUUACUACGCAAGAGGACUCUGGCCAGACUGCCGUUGACAAAACGGAGGAAGGUGGGGAUGACGUCAAAUCAUCAUGCCCUUUAUGACUUGGGCUACACACGUACUACAAUGGCGUUAAACAAAGAGAAGCAAGACCGCGAGGUGGAGCAAAACUCAGAAACAACGUCCCAGUUCGGACUGCAGGCUGCAACUCGCCUGCACGAAGUCGGAAUUGCUAGUAAUCGUGGAUCAGCAUGCCACGGUGAAUACGUUCCC